GCACUACUGAGGAGUCCCAUACUAGGACGAAACGGCCGUUCAGUGC
rfam:Schistosoma haematobium scaffold323_21, whole genome shotgun sequence.